GCUGGCGGCAGGCUUAACACAUGCAAGUCGAGCGGUAACAGGAGAAGCUUGCUUCUCGCUGACGAGCGGCGGACGGGUGAGUAAUACUUAGGAAUCUACCUAGUAGUGGGGGAUAGCUCGGGGAAACUCGAAUUAAUACCGCAUACGACCUACGGGAGAAAGGGGGCAACUUGUUGCUCUCGCUAUUAGAUGAGCCUAAGUCGGAUUAGCUAGAUGGUGGGGUAAAGGCCUACCAUGGCGACGAUCUGUAGCUGGUCUGAGAGGAUGAUCAGCCACACCGGGACUGAGACACGGCCCGGACUCCUACGGGAGGCAGCAGUGGGGAAUAUUGGACAAUGGGGGCAACCCUGAUCCAGCCAUGCCGCGCGUGUGAAGAAGGCCUUUUGGUUGUAAAGCACUUUAAGCAGUGAAGAAGACUCCAUGGUUAAUACCCAUGGACGAUGACAUUAGCUGCAGAAUAAGCACCGGCUAACUCUGUGCCAGCAGCCGCGGUAAUACAGAGGGUGCAAGCGUUAAUCGGAAUUACUGGGCGUAAAGCGAGCGUAGGUGGCUUGAUAAGUCAGAUGUGAAAGCCCCGGGCUUAACCUGGGAACGGCAUCUGAUACUGUUAGGCUAGAGUAGGUGAGAGGAAGGUAGAAUUCCAGGUGUAGCGGUGAAAUGCGUAGAGAUCUGGAGGAAUACCGAUGGCGAAGGCAGCCUUCUGGCAUCAUACUGACACUGAGGUUCGAAAGCGUGGGUAGCAAACAGGAUUAGAUACCCUGGUAGUCC
rnacentral:rRNA from 1 species